AUCCACAUCUACGUUCACAUAAGUCGGCCAAACAUUGAGUAGGACAGUGGUAAUCCAAGGAUCAGUAGCCACAUUAAUGGUAGAACCAGAACCCACACUCCAUAAAAACUGAAAUUUGAGAAUAUCAGCACAUUUAACCAAUUUUCCCCACAUAAUCAAACACCCUCCUUGUUUAAUAUAAUUCCGCCCAGGUACCAUGAAAAUUAUAUUUAGCUGAAACCACCUGAGUCCACAAUGAAGAAGCCUGC
rnacentral:lncRNA from 1 species